UACGGAGGGAGCUAGCGUUGUUCGGAAUUACUGGGCGUAAAGCGCACGUAGGCGGCUUUGUAAGUUAGGGGUGAAAGCCCGGAGCUCAACUCCGGAAUUGCCUUUAAGACUGCAUCGCUUGAAUCCAGGAGAGGUGAGUGGAAUUCCGAGUGUAGAGGUGAAAUUCGUAGAUAUUCGGAAGAACACCAGUGGCGAAGGCGGCUCACUGGACUGGUAUUGACGCUGAGGUGCGAAAGCGUGGGGAGCAAACAGG
rnacentral:rRNA from 1 species